rnacentral:rRNA from 1 species
UAGCAAGUUCAUAAGAGCAAACGGUGAAUGCCUUGGCAUCUGGAGCCGAAGAAGGACGUCGUAAUCUGCGAUAAGCCUCGGGGAGCUGAUAAACGAGCUGUGAUCCGAGGAUUUCCGAAUGGGGAAACCCCGCCAGGCCCCUUGUGGUGACCUGGUGACUCCCGCCUGAAUAUAUAGGGCGGGUAGAGGGAACGUGGGGAAGUGAAACAUCUCAGUACCCACAGGAAGAGAAAACAACAGUGAUUCCGUCAGUAGUGGCGAGCGAACGCGGAAGAGGCUAAACCGAGUCAUGUGUGAUACCCGGCAGGGGUUGCAUGGCCGGGGUUGUGGGACUUUUUGUUCCGGUCUGCCGGCCGGUGAACGUUACAGCGCAUCAUAGACGAACAGGUUUGAACGCCUGGCCAGAGCGGGUGCGAGCCCCGUAGUCGAAAUGGUGU